AUUACCGGACCCUCCUCCCCGUCUUCCAACGCCCGAAAUAAUUUUUUGCCUUUGCGUGCUUAGCCUUUCAAAUCCUGUCUCGGGCCGGUGGUCUAAGCUAGCAGAAAUCGGGCGCAAACAUGGGGUACGGGGGCUUUGACCGUAACCUGCCCACAUGCAGAUUAUGAAGUAGAAGUGCACUGCACCCCGUCCAACCGGGCUAUCAUGAUAGCCAAUGAGGCAAGAUGGGAAUUUCCAGCGAGCCUGCGCUGGAGUAAGGGGUUCAGUAAACCGAGAUGACGGUCUCAGAGAUAAAAUCGGAAAAAAA
rnacentral:sRNA from 1 species